GGAUGGAUCACCUCCUUUCUAAGGAAACCAAUAAAAUCAAUCAUCUUCAGUUUUGAAAGACUUAGGCAACUAAGUUUUUCUUCGUGACUUCACGAAGGGCCUAUAGCUCAGUUGGUUAGAGCACACGCCUGAUAAGCGUGAGGUCGGUGGUUCAAGUCCAUUUAGGCCCACCAGAGUUAUAGGUUUCGUAAGAACACAAAUUCUUUGAAAAUUAGGUAAAUAAUAGUUAUUUAUCCGGAACAUUAAAGGAAAUAAGAGCGCACAGUGGAUGCCUAGGCACCAAGAGCUGAUGAAGGACGCAAUUAACGGCGAUACGCUACGGGGAGCUGUAAAUAAGUGUAGAUCCGUGGAUUUCCGAAUGGGGCAACCUACUAUAAGAAGUUAUAGUAUCAAUUGUUAGGCAACUAACUGAUUGAAAGGAACGCAGUGAACUGAAAUAUCUAAGUAACUGCAGGAACAGAAAGUAAUAACGAUUCCGGUAGUAGUGACGAGCGAAUCCGGAACAGCCGGAUACCAAUAACUAGUUACCAAAUUUUAAUUAACUCGAAAUAGUUGGAAAGCUAUAUCCCAGAAGGUGAAAAUCCUGUAGAGGUAAGUUAAAAUCUAGGGUAUCCUCAAGUACGGCGAGACACGAGAAAUCUUGUUGGAAGAUAGGAGGACCAUCUCCUAAGGCUAAAUACUCCUUGGUGACCGAUAGUGAACUAGUACCGUGAGGGAAAGGCGAA
rnacentral:sRNA from 1 species